rnacentral:rRNA from 1 species
CUGACUUUGGGAUAAGCCUGGGAAACUGGGUCUAAUACCGGAUAUGACCAUGGGAUAUGUUCUGUGGUGGAAAGCUUUUGCGGUUGGGGAUGGGCCCGCGGCCUAUCAGCUUGUGUGGGGUAAUGGCCUACCAAGGCGACGACGGGUAGCCGACCUGAGAGGGUGAUCGGCCACUGGGACUGAGACACGGCCCAGACUCCUACGGGAGGCAGCAGUGGGGAAUAUUGCACUGGGCGCAAGCCUGAUGCAGCGACGCCGCGUGAGGGAUGACGGCCUUCGGGUUGUAAAUCUUUCAGUAGGGACGAAGCUUCGGUGACGGUACCUGCAGAAGAAGCACCGGCCAACUGUGCCAGCAGCCGCGGUAAUACGUAGGGUGCGAGCGUUGUCCGGAAUUACUGGGCGUAGAGCUCGUAGGCGGUUUGUCGCGUCGUCUGUGAAAUUCUGCAACUCAAUUGCAGGCGUAGGCGAUACGGGCAGACUUGAGUACUACAGGGGAGACUGGAAUUCCUGGUGUAGCGGUAAUGCGCAGAUAUCAGGAGGAACACCGGUGGCGAAGGCGGGUCUCUGGGUAGUAACUGGCUGAGGAGCGAAAGCGUGGGUAGCGAACAGGAUUAGAUACCCUGGUAGUCCACGCCGAACGGUGGGUACUAGGUGUGGGUUCCAUUUCACGGGAUCCGUGCCGUAGCUAACGCAU